GGCUCGGUGGCACACGGUGCGCAUCUGCCGUCGAUAGAGGGCUUGGUUGCGAUAUUGGACUGAAGCAGACCCCGCCCGUUCGACUCGGGCCCGAGCCA